AAUAUUUAGAUUAUUCGUGUGUAGUCCCCAGCCCCAUCCCCUCUCUCCCAUCCCACCUGCACGCACGCGACCUCACGCCCGUGCUAUGCCGCCGCCGCCGCCCACGGCUCCGACCGUCGCCGACCGCCUCCGCCCACAGCUCCGACCGUCGCCGACCGCCUCCGCCACUGCAGAUCGCCGGACCAUCUCCACGCGGGUCUUCUCCCUAGAUUCCCCGCCGCUGCGACGCUUCUCUCCUCCCGUGCGCGCCCCCCACGGCAAACCCUAGCCGUGCGGCUCGGGUUCGCCGGCGCGGUGCGUCCCCUCCCCAGCAUCUUCGGCUGCUCCACGCCCGUGCUAUGCCGCCGCCACCCAUGGCUUCGACCGUCGCCGACCGCCUCCGUCACUGCAGAUCGCCGGACCAUCUCCACGCGCCCCCACGGCGAACCCUAGCCAUGCCCAUAUUUUCCUGAUGCAAUUGGUAGUGUAGUGUGAAGAAGUCUGGAGGAGUCUUUCGUAUUAAGGAAUCUGCAGGCUGUACCUAGAUAAUCUAGGUUGUUCUGUUGAUUUCAGUUCCUUGCCGUCCAUGUUGACAGCAAUUCUUAUCAUGGUCACGCUAGAUUUAAUUUUCUCAGAUUCUUAAAAUUCUAUUAUGGGAGAACCAACCUGAGGUUGGGUGGUUAGGAGGAUGGUUGUAUCCCCAGCCCACCAGAGUUCAAACCCCAGGUUUGACAUCUGUGUGUCUCAUAAAGGCGGAAUAUUCAUUCAGUGGGAGGCGACGUUCCCGUCGACAGCGAGGCGUCUGUGGUGACUUCGUCAAUUUCAAGAUCCAAUCCGUCGGCUCAGUCUUCCGGAGGUGCUCAUAGGGGUAGGGUGUGCGUGUGUGCGUUCAUAAGGGUGAGUGUAUGCUCGUUUAUGUGAGCGUCUGCGUUUGUACUGUGUUCCUCAAAAAAAAAAUUUCUAUUAUGGAUUUAUGGGUAUUGCUCGUCCCUAUUCUAGAGGCAGUGAUGUUAAUUACCCGGCAUGUAGCAGCCUAGAAGUAUCAAAACACAACAAUUAGAUGCAGACUGCAGUAAAUUCACACACUUCUAUGCUAUCACUGAUUGAUUGAGACUCGGACUGUGAUUUGUCUCGUAAAAUUAUACAAUGUAUUUCUGCUUCGCAUUUGUAUGCGUGCAUAAUCAAAUUUGGUUGUGGUAUUUCACUUUCUAGAAGAAGGGUUCUCUCGAGACAAGUCACAACAUGCAGCAUAUGAGUAGUCGUUGUGUGGUUCAGUGAAAACAUUAGGACAACAGGGUGUUGAAUAAUCAGUUAUUUUCAUGCAUUAUAUAAACUAUUGUUUCACUUGCUGCCUUGACUAACUGUGGAAGUAUCUGUUCAUAGAUAAUAAUCAUGUCAAUGACACAAGUAAUCAGCAGUUGGUUGUUAGGUUGUAUGCUAGUCGCCACUGACUGAUCGAGCUAGCUCUUGUACAGUCUCUUUGAUCUAUAUGGAGUAUAUCAUAAUUGUUGUCACAUGAAUUAUUGAGUUAUGUUGUGUUAGUUUGCUUUGAGAGGCCAGGCUAACGGGGAGUUGGAUCAGUACUCUAUCAAUGUGACUAUUACUAACAGAUAAUUUCACCUCAUGUUUUAUGAUUUACAAUGCGUCAAUUAUGAUGUUUCUUUUCUCUCUCUAUCUUGACUACAGAAUUUUGAAGAUCAACUAGCUCACUGGACACAUCCCUUGUACAUUGUCCUGAAUUCCAAAUUUCGAAACCUUGGAUCUUGGAAGUCAAGAAUUGAAAGGUUUCAUUACUGAUGAAAUAAGUCAUCUGAUAGACUUGGUAUGCUUGUAACUUAGAGCUAGAUGUUGUGCAAUGGUGGAAGAACCCUCCUGCUUAAGCGAAGUCACUGUCAUCGAAUAUUCAGUUUUGAGCUUCAUAGGUUGAGUCGGUACUACUCUGAUUGCUAAGAGGGCGUAUAGGUCAGUACAAUUUUUUCGUAUUUGAAUUCAGUAUGAUGUUUUCUUAUUAGAGGCCAGAACAAUGUUGAUUGACAGAUAGUGACAAGAAAGCAGUCGCAAAUUUUUCCAAGUGUUCCAAGUGAAUCUUUUGGAACAUAAGGUCGUUGGUUUACAUAUGUAGAAAUUACUAAUAUGGUGCUUCAUGUUCCCUUCACAUGCUUGGUGCGUCAUCUGUUUUUUAGGCCUCUGACACUAUCCUAGCUUACUAAUCUGGGCAUUUUCGUGAUGGUGCUUAACUACUCAUGUAUUGGUUUCCAAGUAAUUUUCAUGAUGGUGCUUAAAUACUCAUGCACCGAUGCACAUGCCUAUUGUCUGUACUGUACACUAUCUUGAUCAUUCCAUCUACACUAACUUGAUCAUCCUAUUCUAUGAACUUUCUCUGAAUUUAUAUACAUAUUCCUUAUGGAUACUGAGAUUCAGAGACGAUUUAGCACAUGACAUAUUCACAUGAUAUCAUCGCCAGGGACCGCAUCAUAAGUGACUUUUGAAUAGUUUUGUUCUUUCUUACUCUUGCGGAGUUAGAAAAAUUAUGGUAAUUAUUCGUCAUGUAAUGAACUAAUUUUUCCUGCUAUUACAGGUUGAUAUGAGAUCAUGCUUACCAAAAGCAAAAUUCAUGUUCCUGAUAUUAUUGUGAGUAUCCUUUGUGGGUUAACUAAUCUUACUCUGAAAAAAGGAGGCACAUUGAUUUCCUUCUGUGGGAUAGUGAUUACUUAUGUCAUUUUGAGUAUCUAAAUCUUUGUAUUCACAUUUUUUUUUUCAUUUUCCAUGUUCUGCUCUUUUAAUGCUGACUAUCUUCGUUUGCAUGAUCUCAUAUAUACUCUUGCUUAACGUGAUGUACAUUGUAUCUCUGGAGAAAUACCUUACAACAUUGGUUUCCUUCUAGUAGCCACACUGUAAGCCUUGGAUUAAUGUGAAUCAUCUAUACUCUUGCUUAUUUGUAUUCUGGCAAUAUACUGUUCUAUUUAUAUUCAAACUUUUACUUAAUGUUUUCAUUGUUAGUACAAUCAGUAAGACCUGUUUUUUCAAUGAAACAACAUUCUUUACUGGAAGCUUCAACUGGCAACGAAGACGAAGGCGAAAUUGAUGGCAAGAACUCAUUCUGCAGCUUCGACAUCGGAGAGAAAGACAUGAACUAUCUCGGGUUGGAGCUUCUGUCCUUGGUAACAAAGAUCAAAUCUGCUGACUCAUUGUUGGUAUAGUUACAUAAGAUAGACACUUCAUUUGUAAUUGCUGUCACUGUAAUUUGUGAUGUUAUUGUAAGGAAUUCAGCGUAAUAUUAA